UGCGGGAUGGCUGAGACUUAGGCGGAGGAUUGUAGCUCCUUUUAGGGAAGAGAGGAAUCUUUCUCCUGUAA
rnacentral:tRNA from 1 species